AAUACGUGGCAUACGGCUCAGUAACACGUAGUCAACAUGCCCAGGGGACGUGGAUAACCUCGGGAAACUGAGGAUAAACCGCGAUAGGUCAUAAUAUCUGGAAUGAUUUCUGGCUGAAAUCUAUAUGGCCCCUGGAUUGGACUGCGGCCGAUCAGGCUGUUGGUGAGGUAAUGGCCCACCAAACCUAAAACCGGUACGGGCUCUGAGAGGAGAAGCCCGGAGAUGGGCACUGAGACAAGGGCCCAGGCCCUAUGGGGCGCAGCAGGCGCGAAAACUCUGCAAUAAGCGAAAGCUUGACAGGGUUAUUCUGAGUGAUUUCCGCUAAGGAAAUCUUUUGGCACCUCUAAAAAUGGUGCAGAAUAAGGGGUGGGCAAGCCUGGUGUCAGCCGCCGCGGUAAUACCAGCACCCCGAGUGGUCGGGACGAUUAUUGGGCCUAAAGCAUCCGUAGCCGGUUCUACAAGUCUUCCGUUAAAUCCACCUGCUUAACAGAUGGGCUGCGGAGGAUACUAUGGAGCUAGGAGGCGGGAGAGGCAAGCGGUACUUAGUGGGUAGGGGUAAAAUCCGUUGAUCCAUUGAAGACCACCAGUGGCGAAGGCGGCUUGCCAGAACGCACUCGACGGUGAGGGAUGAAAGCUGGGGGAGCAAACCGGAUUAGAUACCCGGGUAGUCCCAGCUGUAA
rnacentral:rRNA from 1 species